UUGACCUCAAUCAGUAGGAAUACCCGCUGAACUUAACAUAUCAAUAAGCGGAGGA
rnacentral:rRNA from 1 species